UCGCUAACCCCAUCGAAUGAGAAAGAAUUUCAUUUCCUUUUGAUUGCCAGUUUCAGAGGGAAAAAUUUCGUGCAGCACUUUGUGCUCCAACUCUAUAUUACAUUUACAGGUUGCUUCUUGCUAUGAAGAGAAAAAGGAGUACGGUUUCACAUCAACCUCGGGCUAAUGCUGAUACACUAUUUCAGAGUUACUUUGGUCAGCUGUCACCAGUAGAACCUUUUGGAAAACAAGCUGAGAAUGAGAAUGUCAAGGAAAAAAUGGAUGCUUCUGCUGGAUUAGAAACUGGAAACAAAUUGAAGAAGCUAAAGCUCAAGUUUAGGGGUGUUACUCAUACUAUUCAUGCCAAGUCAAAGACAGAAACAGGCUUCAGCAGUGAUUCUUUAAUAAAAAAAAUUUCUCCUUGUUCUGAUUGUUCUAAGCCUCAGCAGAGAAUCAUUCACAUAGAGGAAAGACCACCGGAGAAACUAUAGAUGUCAAUCAUGAGCAUGUCUGUGAGAGCAAGCACAUUACCAGGAGAUGUGCCUUGAGUGUGGAAUUUAGUGAUGAAGAUAAUAAAGAUGCAGAACUUCAUUUUCUCAAAGACCCUGGAAUACCGGGCUCAAUUAAAUAUGGUAAAAUGAAAUUGAAAUCAGGGAAGAAAUAUGAGGAUUCAGACUAUGUGGAAGAAGAUCCAACAUCAAGUGACGAGUCAAUAUCGGCGUGGAAGAAGCCAAAGAGGGAAUCUGUUGAUUUACUUGUACAAAGAGGGAAUCAUACUUGUUCAGUUGACUCAUUGAAAGAUGUUUUAUCUGGGUCAGCUGCAAGCAUUGCCGACAUCUCAGAUGCUUUAGUUCCCAUGGUAUCUAAAAGUGAGAAAUUUAUUUAUUUUAUAUUAUUUUUACAUAUUGAUGCUAUUUUAGCUGUUCUGUCAUUUUUAGUUUUUGUAUGUGUAAAUUCCAACUGUGACUGUUAUUUAGAUAAACGGUUAUCGAUUUUUUGUGUUUGUGCAUAUUGUUUUUAAAUGGCAUCUAAAGAUUUAAAAUCUUUAUUACCUUACAACUAAGAUUUUUUAAAGCAGAUGAAGUUUUGGCCUUUGGGGAGUUAUUAUUUUUUGAGAUCUUUAUUACCUUACGGAUUUUACAUUUGAAGUCAGGCCAUGUGUAAAACUGAUGUAAGAGGACCCAAUGAAUAUGAAUUGAAAGUUAUCAUAAUAUACCUGAUUAAAUAAGCCAAUUCAAUCAAAUAAACUUUUAUCAUGAUUCAUGAAGUAAUUUGCUAGUACAUGCUUCAACAUGAAGUAUCAACUCAUACUCAUAAUACCUGUAGGGGAAAAUAUUUUUUGAAUUAUUUUUGUUUUCUUUGAUGAUAAUAAGGGAAAAGGGGAAAAUUGUCAGAAAUGGAGCAACAAGUCAAGAAAGCUGAGGCUGCAGAGACGUAAAAUUCAAUCAGAGAAGGCAGCUCGGGAAGCUGAGGUCUGCCUGUGAUGCUGUGAUUCCGUUGAUUAUCUUAGAACUAGUAGUUGAGAUUGUAGUAUAGCAUUAACAUUGGGACGGAACACAGAAGUUCUAGACUAUGGCUCUCAUAAAUCGAGGUCUGACAUUGUGUUUCUGUAGGCAGCCGCCAUCAGAAAGAUACUUGGUCAAGAAUCGGGUAGGAAGAAGAGAGAGGAUAAGAUGAAGAAGCACAGGGAUGAAUUUGUUAAGGAAAAAUCUAACAAAUCCUUCAAUUUAGGAUCAAAUACUGUUAGAUUGACCAUGAGACCCCAAGGAACUGUAGUAACUUUUUCUGAAGAUAUUGGUCUACCGAGUAUCUUCCAAAUGGGAACUAACAGCUAUCCUCCCGAGAGAAAAAUGCUCUGGUCCAAACUGCACUGAUGAGUACAAGUACCGGGAUUCCAAGUCAAAGUAAAACAACAGUUAUAAGAUUUGAUUUACAUACAAAUACUUUUGAGGAACGGGCGUUGCAACAUUUGACAAGGAUAUCCAUGUAUAUGAAAAGUGAACCAAAUAUUGAAAAUGUUAAGUACCGAUGAUACAUUUCAGCUUUUCUAAUUUCACGUAAAAUGAAAGUCUAAGUUCUACAAAGGGCAAAAGAAAAGAAAAAUAUGCCUCUAAAUUUUUCUGUUGGGAUGUUAACUGUUUCUUCUCACUCUAUAACCAUAAGAGCAUCUCCAAUAGACUUGAACUUUAAGUUGGUUCUUAAAGUUAA